UACGAAGGGGGCUAGCGUUGCUCGGAAUCACUGGGCGUAAAGCGCACGUAGGCGGCUCUUAAUGUCAGAGGUGAAAUCCUGGGGCUCAACCCCAGAACUGCCUUUGAUACUGAGGAGCUUGAGUCCGGGAGAGGUGAGUGGAACUGCGAGUGUAGAGGUGAAAUUCGUAGAUAUUCGCAAGAACACCAGUGGCGAAGGCGGCUCACUGGCCCGGUACUGACGCUGAGGUGCGAAAGCGUGGGGAGCAAACAGG
rnacentral:rRNA from 1 species